rnacentral:misc_RNA from 1 species
GGUGAACCAGAAAACAAGAACUGAGACGCUUUGACAUGUGUGCAUACCAGAGUGAUAUGAAGACCAGUGGAGACCCAAGAAAAAAAAACAUGCAACUGUCUCUUCAAGCGUUACUUCAGGCAUGGCCAAACACGUGAAAACAUAUUAUUUACAAGUUCAGCAAGUAACUUUUGAUCCUGAGGUAUCACAAAAUCAUGAUCGCAGUUGGAGAAAUCAUAACUUCCAUGAUAACCUUGUUGUGGAUGAUGAUGACGGGAAUAAGGUUCUGCCUCAGCUCCGCUGGAAACUAAAGGCAUCGUUGGCGGUGAAGGCGGUGGUCGUGUAUGCUUUCUAGCUACCUUUUCUUGUUUGCUCAUUUUUCUUUCUUCUGAUACAUUAAAAAUGCAACAUGCACGAUGCAGACGAAGCAUAAUUGCUUGUGACACAAAAACUAAAUUGCUUAUCUUUCUUUUAACAUAACUUUUUU